rnacentral:lncRNA from 1 species
AAUUUUAUAAUCUCAUAAUCUUACCUAAUCUCAUGUAUUGGUUUAGAUCGGAAAAUUUUCACAAUACGACACAACUCUUUCAAUUUCAUAAGAUGCUUAAAAGCGCACAAAUCCGCACCACACACACACAUAUAUAUAUAGUGGCGAAGCCAAAAUUUAUAUUCAGUGGUGUCAAAAUAUUGUAAUGCUAUAAAUAAUUUGGCGGGGUUCUAGGGCAGUGCCCCCGAACCAAUUUUUUUAGAUAAUUUUGU